rnacentral:lncRNA from 1 species
UAUGCUCCAUUAUUUGGGGGACAAAUAUUAAAAAUUGUUAUUUCCUGUUGUUGUAUGAUUCCCUAACACAGUUUGAAGUGACUGUUUUUGUCUCUUCUGAUUAACUUUGGCUUGAAGUUCACUUUAUCUGAUAUAUGGAGAACAGAAACCCCUGCUUGUUUAUGAGAUUCUUGUGAGUGGUAUGUUUUUUCCCAUACUUUUACUUUUAGUCUGUGCAUGUCUUUGCCUGUGAGGUGAGCCUCUUGGAGAGAGCAUAUUGUUGGGUCCUGUUUUUUUAAUGUAACCUGCCAGCCUAUGCUUUUUGAUGGAUGAGUUUACUCCAUUUAAAUUAUUAUUAUUUAGAGAUGAUUUUUAUUCCCUGAAGUUUUGAUUUAUUUCUAAUUUAACUUGAAUUUGACACUCGUUUGAUAGACUGUCCUCCCUCUGCUGGUUUUCACUUUUAAUUUUCAUUUCUAAUUCAUGAAAUAGUUUAGUGAGUAUGUCUUGUAGUGCAGGUUUUCUAGUUGUGAAUUCUUUUAGCUUUUGUUUAUGGUGGAAGGUUUUUAUUUCGUUUUCAAUUCUGAAGCUUAAUUUUGCUAGGUACAGUAUUCUUGGUUGGCAUCCAUUUUCUUUCAGAGCUUGGUAUGUAUUAUUCUAAGAUCUCCUAGCUUUUAGGGUUGGGUUUAGAAAUCAGUUGAGAUCUGGAUUGGUUUACCAUAUAAAUGCGACCAUUUCAUUUUUCUUGGGCUGCUUUUAAAAAUUCUAUUGCUAUUUGUAUGUUUGGCAUUUUCAUAAUAAUGUGCCUUGGGGUGGAUCUAUUGUAAUUUUGUAUAUUUGGAGUGCUGUAUGCCUCCUGGAUUUGAAGUUCAAUUUCCUUCUUAGGGCUGGGAAAUUUUUCUGAUAUUAUUUCAUUGAAAAGAUUGUGCAUUCUUACUUUGUAUUUCAGAGCCUUCAUCUGUCCUUAUAUAUCUUAAAUUUGGCCUUUUAAUGCUACCCCAUAUUUCUUGAAUAUUCCAUUCAUUGUCUCUUAAUAUGUUUUCUCUAUGUUCAAUAUCAUAUGCUUUAUCUUUGAUGACUGAAAAUCUGUGUUCCCAGUGGUCUAGUCUAUUGGUGAUGUUUUCCAUUGAAUUUUUAAUUUGGGUUAUUGAGUCCUUCAUUUUGAGGAUUUAUGAUUGAUUCG